rnacentral:rRNA from 1 species
AGGAUGAACGCUGGCGGCGUGCCUAAUACAUGCAAGUCGAGCGGUAACAGGUCUAGUUUACUAGAUGCUGACGAGCGGCGGACGGCUGAGUAACACGUAGGAACGUACCCCAAAGUGAGGGAUAACUGCUCGAAAGAGUAGCUAAUACCGCAUGUGAUCCACGGAUUAAAGCUUUAUGCGCUUUGGGAACGGCCUGCGUCCGAUUAGCUAGAUGGUAGUGUAAUGGACUACCAUGGCGACGAUCGGUAGCUGGUCUGAGAGGAUGAUCAGCCAGACUGGGACUGAGACACGGCCCAGACUCCUACGGGAGGCAGCAGUAGGGAAUUUUCCACAAUGGGCGAAAGCCUGAUGGAGCAACGCCGCGUGCAGGAUGAAUGCCUUAGGGUUGUAAACUGCUUUUAUUAGUGACGAUUAUGACGGUAACUAAUGAAUAAGGACCUGCUAACUACGUGCCAGCAGCCGC